CAGAACUACAGGAUUGUACAACCAAACAUUCUCUGCCUCAAUGGUAAUAUCACACAGGGCCUGUGCAAGCCACGUGCGGCAGCAUGGGGCAGCACUUUCCGAGGGGUGACAAAUCUGGCGCCCCCCUUUUUUUAUUUUUAUGUUUAUUUUAUUUAAUUUUUUUAGGACAAACUCAACAUUCAUGCCCAAGAGGGGAUUCGAAACCAAACCUCGGAGGGAGCGGCUUCGGGAACUGUGGCAUGGCGCCUCGGCUACCUGACGGUUGCCUCUGUUGAACAAGGGGAGAGAGGACGACUAAUUUAUUCCUUGCCACUGUGGCAGCACUGUCAUGUUUACGCCGGAGGAACAGAGAGGGGAAGGGAAAGCAGUCUGGCGUACACGCCAGUAUUCUUAUGAGUGGAGCACUACCAACCUGUUACGUGCUGUGUGUCUGCUCUCAACUAAUUUUAUAGAAGACGAAAUCUAAUUUGAAAAUUCGAAUGCAAUGAUCGAUACUGCGGUUACAUGUUAAGACUGAGGCAAUUUUGUUAAGCCCUUCAAUGGCAGUUUCCUAGUUUUAUUCUUCCCGCAUUAUGGAAAAAAAUGGUUCAACAUUACUACAGUCAAACAUGUCCAACACCUACAAUGGCUAGAAGUAUUCCGAUUUGGUAAAUACACUGCGAGUAAUUGCAAGGGGUAAAGACAUUGCUGGCCGGUCGGAGUGGCCGUGCAAUUCUAGGCGCUGCAGUCUGGAGCCGAGCGACCGCUACGGUCACAGGUUCGAAUCCUGUCUUGGGCAUGGAUGUGUGUGAUGCCCUUAGGUUAGUUAGGUUUAAUUAGUUCUAAGUUCUAGGCGACUGAUGACCUCAGAAGUUAAGUCGCAUAGUGCUCAGAGCCAUUUGAACCCACCAAAGACAUUGCUAAUAAGCCUGGCAUAAGUUGGGUUUCGACGUAUUAUGAAAAUUUUUGCUAUCCGUUUCUGAGUGAUAGUCAGACAUUUUGGUUUUUGAGCCAUGAAACACCUGUCUCCGCUGCAUGAACAACAAUUAAACUCUGACCGGCACUUUUGUUUGACAACACUACUCGCACGCCGGCCGGAGUGGCCGUGCGGUUCUAGGCGGUGCAGUCUGGAGCCGAGCGACCGCUACGGUUACAGGUUGGAAUCCUGCCUCGGGCAUGGAUGUGUGUGUUGUCCUUAGGUUAGUGAAGUUUAAUUAGUUCUAAGUUCUAGGCGACUGAUGACCUCAGAAGUUAAAUCGCAUAGUGCUCAGAGCCAUUUUUGAACUACUCGCACACUAUCACUUUGCCAACUUUUAUUUACUGUAUAAUGCAUGUGAUUUCAUGUUUCAUCCUAGUAAACUACUGGUUGCUUUGAUUCUGAUGAAAACCUGAGAAAGUAUGGUCUUUUAGCAACAACGCCCUCUAGUCCGCACAAAUCAAAACGUUAAUUUUGACAUCUUCUAAAACGAAAAUCCAUAGACAGAACAUUGCUUCUAAGGGUUUCCUUGCUAGCUUUGAAACUCAUUUCUGUUUGACAAAAGUUUUGCAGUUUUCGCAAAGUUCGUAUUUCUUUCUACUAUUCGUAAUGCCAUAGAAAUUGUUGCCUGAUAAUACAUUUAUCCAUAUCAUCGGUCACAUACUUUUUAUGAGCUUCUUGCUUUUUCUUCUUGGGCGCUAGUUUAACUGUAGCCUCACUGUACCUCAUCACGUGACCUAGUUCCUGGCACUGCUGCGUCACCACUUCACCUUUCCGGGCAACAGGUAUUGUUGCAUUCUGUACAACGGAAAGUACAGAAUUCGUUUCGGUAGUUGUCCGAGGAAAUCAAGAUUGGUCACAAGCACCUUCAUUGCGUUUUGUAAGGACAGAAGAACUGGUGCGUCUGAAUUUCUUGCAACAUCGGAUGUAAUAGGUCACAGAGUGCCUCUGAGAGUGCCAUGCUCGAUCCAGAAUGUUGUUGCAGCUGUGAGUACAAGGCAGACAGAAUGAGCUGCAGUGCCACAGAACCAGCCAUUGGGUGCACAUCUGCAGGUGCAAGACCCUCAAUUGGAUACAGCUUCAGUGACUUGCAUGUUCCUAACCUACACCAGUAAACCUGCCAGGUAAAGAAGACCUACAAUUACACCUGAAAUCUGAUAUCGUUUCACAUUGCUGGAGAAUCUUCAUAUCAUUGAGAGGUGAUGCCUAGAUUAAAUGCAAACUGAAAAAUUUCCAUGGUUUGACUGGGAUUCGAGUCCACAGCUUCUCGGUUUACAGAUA